rnacentral:rRNA from 1 species
UACGUAGGGGGCAAGCGUUGUCCGGAUUUAUUGGGUUUAAAGGGUGCGUAGGCGGCCUUAUAAGUCAGUGCUGAAAUAUCCCGGCUUAACCGGGAGGGUGGCAUUGAUACUGUAGGGCUUGAGUAAAGUUGAGGUUGGCGGAAUUGACGGUGUAGCGGUGAAAUGCUUAGAUAUCGUCAAGAACACCGAUAGUGAAGACAGCUAACUAAGCUUUAACUGACGCUGAGGCACGAAAGUGUGGGGAUCAAACAGG